UAUCCUGCGCGCUAAUAAUUUCAGUAAAAAAACUAAUAUUGAGUAAAUAAGAUGUAGAGCCAUCUCCCGCUGUUACCCAGUAACUAAAAGUGGAAAUAAAUUAAGUCCUGCAAUUGUUCUGUGUUUGAACCUAGCGGCCAUUUUAUUGUAGCCCAGAGGAGGAGAUUGGCGUAGAGCCUGGCCCAGUAAGGGCAAAAGCUUCCAGACGAGGUUGCAGAGUGUGUCUACUGCAGAGGAGGUGAUUUUUAAAGACAAAAUAGAUCACCUAAUCAAGAAUGGAAAAGGAAUGUGGCCUGACUGAGAGGGUAUUAAAACUCACCCUGGAGAUCAUCUGCCUGCUUACUGGAGAGAAUUAUCUUGCGUUCAAGUUAUCUGAUGGCUUGUUCACACCCAGCUUGCUGAAUCCCCGAAGCCCCAAUAUGGAGCCUUCAUCACACUUCCUGAGAGAGAACAAAAAGAGGAUUGAAGAAAUCAUCAGAGAGACCAUUGAUCUGCUGACAGG